GACGAACGCUGGCGGCGUGCCUAACACAUGCAAGUCGAACGGAAAGGCCCUGCUUUUGUGUGGUGCUCGAGUGGCGAACGGGUGAGUAACACGUGAGUAACCUGCCCUUGACUUUAGGAUAACUUCAGGAAACUGGGGCUACUACCGGAUAGGAGCUGCUGCUGCAUGGUGGGGGUCGGACAGUUUCGGCGGAUGGGGAUGGACUCGCGGCUUAUCAGCUUGUUGGUGGGGUAGUGGCCUACCAAGGCUUUGACGGCUAGUCGGCCUGAGAGGGUGACCGGGCACAUUGGGACUGAGAUACGGCCCAGUCGCGUACGGGAGGCAGAGGGGGGGAAUAUGGCACAGUGGGCGGGAGCGUGAGGCAGCAACGCCGCGUGUGGGAUGACGGCCUUCGGGUUGUAAACCGCUUUAGCCUGUGACGAAGCGUGAGUGACGGUAAUGGGUAAAGAAGCACCGGCUAACUACGUG
rnacentral:rRNA from 1 species